GAGGUUAGCAGCCUAGCCUCUACUCCUUUGUUUAAAAAAAUAUAUGCAAAGGAGCAUUUCAGAAGCUGCUGAUACCUUUCAGCAUACAGAAGGAGGCUUGGUAGACAAAGGUAGGUAUUCCUCGUUAACUGAGAACCUAAGAGUUCUUUAACCAGCAUGGCUUUAAGGGGCACUGAGUGACUUCAAGGAACCAUGAAACUCUCAGGCUGGUAGGGGAAGAGCACAGUGGUUUGCAAUUAACCAGCCCAGUCAGAAGCAGCUGGGAAGGGAGGGCUGAGCACCUCCAUAAAUGAGGUGCCCAAAACAAGGGGCUGGAUGGAAGGCAUUAUUGGGGGAGAAAAGAAAGAAAAGAAAAGAAGUGCUUCCAGUUGGAUUAAGCUUUUCUGCCUCUUCAUUUUGGGGUACCUGAGUUCCCUUUCUGCUGUAAGCAACGUGUUUGAGUAGUAGUUGGAUGGAGUAGUAGAUGUAGCAGCACCAUUGUGUUUGAUUUCCUUGGAAGCCCUGUGGUACAGGACAAGAGCUGUCAGGUUGUACAAGCACUGGUGGUCCUAGGAGAGACAGCUUCGUCACCCACCCUUCGAAAGCUAUGCUAAUGUCAUCAUCCUGAAGUGGUGACUUCUACUGUUUGCCUGGACAACACAAUUGGAGCCUUAAGACUCUUAACAGAAAUGGCAGAGACAAGCUGGUGAGGCUAUAGUGUGGCUUAGAGGAGCCUUGAGGAAGAAGAACUACACAAAAGGACAGACAUACUGUGUGCACUUGCAUUUUGACAGUAGGUAGAAAGGUGUGUAUUUAGGUGAGGGGACAGUAGAUGAAAAGGAGAGUUAGAGGUGCAUGAAGCAAGCCACCUCCAUGUUUGGGAAGAAAGGAGCAUGCUGUUAGGUGUCACAGAACUUCAACCUAGGCCUGAAAGAAGCUUGUAAUCUGCUGAGGUCUCAUCACUCAGGUAUGUGUUGGUGCACAAUUGUUGUCUUGUUAUCUCCUGUAGUACUGGGUAAGUUUUGGAACUGUUACGGAGCACUGAGGCUUCCUGAGUAAAUAAGAACCUCUGAAAAGCUCUCUGAUAUCAGAGUGUUGUGUUUUGCUCACACAAAUGAUGUGUGACUAUAGUAUCUACAACACCAAUACCUGACCCUGUGUAGUGCAAUAGAAUGGCAAGUGAAGCACUUACUUCAAUAGUAGCUAGCCUGUAUGUUUGAAAUGGUCCUUGAAGAUUCAGAAGUGUCCUGAACAUGAAAUGGAAAUUGCAGAGUGACUAAGGCUACAUUACAACCUGACUAUGAACCAAAACUGCUGUACAAAGCAUCUAGUCUUAAGUUGCACAGAUGUGCAGGGAUCAUCUUUCCUUUUCCUUUAAGUAUUGCUGCCCUCUGUCUGCUUAAUUCUUCUGCGCUGGUUUUCCCCUUUGAUUUCUCACUUGUGCUGCCUGUAUCAAGAGACUUAUUCAAUGUUUAAACUCCCACCUGCAAGUUUCCUUUUUCUCAGUACUUUGACACAGCUGAUUGAACGUUCCAGAAGAAUCCCUCACUUGGAGAGUGGUGCUUUACUCUCUGCUCCCAAGGUCUAUUUCUAGCACCUGGUAUCCUUUAAAAGCGUCCAUGAAGUCACCACUCAGCUUUUCUAUGAUCAGGCCAGUAGCACUGAGUCUUUUGCUCCCCUCCCUGCUCAUCAUUCAAUACUCUUCCUUCUGCAGAUGCUAGUUGUAAGAUCUGCAGCUUCAUCUCUUGACUACUCUUACU